ACGCUCGACACCUACGGGAGGCAGCAGUGAGGAAUAUUGGUCAAUGGACGCAAGUCUGAACCAGCCAUGCCGCGUGCAGGAUGACGGCUCUAUGAGUUGUAAACUGCUUUUGUACGAGGGUAAACGCAGAUACGUGUAUCUGUCUGAAAGUAUCGUACGAAUAAGGAUCGGCUAACUCCGUGCAAGCAGCCGCGGUAAUCUGAGCGGGCUGGCAAGGC
rnacentral:rRNA from 1 species